AGAGGUAGUGGGGCACGUGCCCUA
rnacentral:siRNA from 1 species